rnacentral:rRNA from 1 species
UGCCCGAAGGGUGACGAAGCGACGCCGCGUGGGUGAGGAAGGCCUUCGGGUUGUAAAGCCCUGUCAGGAGUUAAGAAAUGUAGACUCGCUAAUAUCGGGUCUAUUUGACAAAGGCUCCAAAGGAAGCCACGGCUAACUCUGUGCCAGCAGCCGCGGUAAUACAGAGGUGGCAAGCGUUGUUCGGAAUUAUUGGGCGUAAAGAGCACGUAGGUGGAUUUGUAAGUCAGACGUGAAAGCCUCCUGUUCAACGGAAGAAUUGCAUCUGAAACUACAAACCUUGAGUGUAGGAGGGGAGAAUGGAACUUCUGGUGGAGCGGUGAAAUGCGUAGAUAUCAGAAGGAACGCCGGCGGCGAAAGCGAUUCUCUGGCCUAUUACUGACACUCAGUGUGCGAAAGCUAGGGGAGCAAACGGGAUUAGAUACCCCGGUAGUCCUAGCCGUAAACGAUGGGCACUAAGUAGAGGGG